UGUCCCCUGUGAUGCUGAAUGUUAUGCCUUUGAAUGGACUUAACUAUACAUCUUUGCUCUUCCUAAUUCCAAGUCUGCCCUUCUUUUUAGCUAACCCUAAAUGAGAAGGAAGCAGAAUAUAACCCUCUGGAGAGCUCAAGACAGUAGGAACCUAGAGCGUGCUUGUUUGAAUUUUCUGAUAUCUGAUUUUCACAGGAAUAUACUUUUUGUUUGUUUUCCUUUUCCAUUUUCAAAAUGCCAAGAUCUGGGAGCCUCUUUCAUUCCUCUAGUCACAUGGCCUGAGAUAGAAGUUUACAAGUUUACGUCUUAUUGGCUGUGGGCAGAGAUUAUGACCCUUACUUGCUUGGGUACAUUUCAGUAACCUCUUACUGCCUAAAAACAUAGUCCCUCCAGCCUAAGAUGAUGAUUCUGUUUUGUUGACUCUUGAAUGCUUCCCCAACAUCCCUUUAGUUUUCCUAUAAGCAAAACCAAACACCACUAUAAAUACAAAAGCACUUGGUAAACUGUAAAGUUACUCAUGUAUCCCAACCCUCCACAGAUUUCUGAAGACAAAGUUUUGCUUGGACUAAAACAAAAUGUUUUACUAUUUUGCA